AUGCAUAGGAAUCUGCCCGGUAGUGGGGGAUAACUUGAGGAAACUCAAGCUAAUACCGCAUACGCCCUACGGGGGAAAGCAGGGGCUCUUCGGACCUUGCGCUAUCGGAUGAGCUUAUGUCGGAUUAGCUGGUUGGUGAGGUAACGGCUCACCAAGGCGACGAUCCGUAGCUGGUCUGAGAGGAUGAUCAGCCACAUCGGGACUGAGACACGGCCCGAACUCCUACGGGAGGCAGCAGUGGGGAAUAUUGGACAAUGGGGGCAACCCUGAUCCAGCCAUGCCGCGUGUGUGAAGAAGGCCCUCGGGUUGUAAAGCACUUUCAGCGAGGAAGAAUGCUUGUCGGUUAAUACCCGGCAAGGGAGACAUCACUCGCAGAAGAAGCACCGGCUAACUCCGUGCCAGCAGCCGCGGUAAUACGGAGGGUGCGAGCGUUAAUCGGAAUUACUGGGCGUAAAGCGUGCGUAGGCGGCUUGAUAAGCCGGUUGUGAAAGCCCCGGGCUCAACCUGGGAACGGCAUCCGGAACUGUUAGGCUAGAGUGCAGGAGAGG
rnacentral:rRNA from 1 species